CCCUUUAUUGAUCCUCAAUGCCUCCUUUUUUCAUGGCUGUAAUAUGGCUCCAGAAGGAUACCUAGUACUUGGUUAAUAAUUGAAAUUGUUUGAUUGUGGCAAGUACAAACAAGGAUGCAGGAUUUGACUUGCUCCUUUGGUGAGAGAAAUGGCUUGGCUGUCAUGCUGCUAUUCGAGGAGGCCUGGGCUUGCUGCCCUGCUGCUGUUCGAGGAGGCCUGGGCUGCUGCCCUGGGCCCGACGGGCCGCUCGGAUGGGCCGUGACUUGGGCUUGGGAAAGGAGGCCCAAGGUGCAAGCAAUAUAAGAUUUUGUUUCUUAAGUUCUUUUUGGCCCAUUCGUAACAUUUUGUAAUAGCAUCCAUUAUUCUUUUCUCGAACUUAGUCAUAUAAUUAAAUGUAUUGAUUGUGGUGAAUGCGAACACCGUGGUUUCGGAAAUGAGGUCCUCAUUUUUAUUCA